GGUGGAAUUGGUAGACUCGCUAGAUUCAGGUUCUAGUGUUCACUGCGGACGUGCGGGUUCAAGUCCCGCC
rnacentral:tRNA from 1 species